AGAGAAUAGAUACCCGGGUAGUCCACGCCGUAAACGAUGUGUGCUAGUUAUCGGGCAAUUUAUUGUUCGGUGACGCCGCUAAACGCAUUAAGCACACCGCCUGGGGAGUACGGUCGCAAGAUUAAAAACUCAAAGGAAUUGACGGGGGCCCGGCACAAGCGGUGGAGUAUGUUGUUUAAUUCGAAGCAACGCGAAGAACCUUACCAACCUUUGACAUGCCCUCCUAUGAUUUCCUAGAGAUGGAUUUCUUUCACUUCGGGUGGGAGGAGCGACAGGUGCUGCAUGGCGUGUCGUCAAGCUCGUGUACGUCGAGAUGUUGGGUUAAGUCCCCGCAACGAGUCGCAACCCCUAGUCUCCAGUUGCCAUCAUUCAGUUAGGGCACUCUGGCG
rnacentral:rRNA from 1 species